rnacentral:rRNA from 1 species
ACCAAGGCAAUGACGGGUAGGGGACCUGAGAGGGUGGCCCCCCACAAUGGAACUGAAACACGGUCCAUACACCUACGGGUGGCAGCAGUAGGGAAUAUUAGAAAUGGGCGAAAGCCUGAUCUAGCAACACCGCGUGUGCGAUGAAGGCCUUCGGGUUGUAAAGCACUUUUUGGAGGGAAUAGGAAGGGAGGUACCUCCAGAAUAAGUCUCGGCUAACUACGUGCCAGCAGCCGCGGUAACACGUAGGAGGCAAACGUUAUCCGGAUUCACUGGGCGUAAAGCGCGUGUAGGUGGUUCUGUAAGUAGGGCGUGAAAGCUCCCGGCUCAACUGGGAGAGGCCGUACUAAACUGCAGAGCUAGAGGAUGGUAGAGGGAGGUGGAAUUCCAGGUGUAGUGGUGAAAUGCGCAGAUAUCUGGAGGAACACCAGUGGCGAAGGCGGCCUCCUGGACCAUUCCUGACACUCAGACGCGAAAGCUAGGGUAGCAAACGAAAGGAGAGACUCCGGUAGUCCUAGCCCUAAACGACGCCCACAAGGCGUCGGCGGUUUAAUCACCGUCGGUGUCCAAAGCUAACAGCGAUAAGUCUGCCGCCCUAAGGACUACCGGCCCCAAGGCUAAAAAUCAAAGGAAUAGACGGGUCCCCGCACAAGCAGCGGAGCGUGUGGUUUAAUUCGAUGCUCCGCGAAGAACCUUACCUGGGGUUUGACAUAACAGUGGUAGAGAAGUGAAAACGGAUCGACCAAAAAAAGAGCUGUUACAGGUGUUGCAUGCCUGUCGUCAGCUCGUGUCGUGAGAUGUUCGGUUAAGUCCGCUAACGAGCGCAACCCGCGCUGUGUGUUACAAGUGUCACACAGUACCGCCGGUAUUAAGUCGGAGGAAGGUGCGGAUGACGUCAAGUCAGCAUGACCUUUAUAUCCAGGGCUACACACACGCUACAAUGGUCAGAACAAUAGGUUGCCAAGCCGCAAGGCGGAGCCAAUCCUCCAAAUCUGGCCUCAGUUCAGAUUGCAGGCUGCAACUCGCCUGCAUGAAGUCGGAGUUGCUAGUAACCGCAGGUCAGCAUACUGCGGUGAAUACGUUCCCGGGGAUUGCACACACCGCCCGUCAAG